GCUGGGCGCGGUGGCUCACGCCUGUAAUCCUAGCAGUUUGGGAGGCCGAGGUGGGCGGAUCACCUGAGGUCAGGAGUUCGAGCCUGACCAACAUGGAGAAACCCCAUCUCUA
rnacentral:SRP_RNA from 1 species